rnacentral:rRNA from 1 species
AUUGAACGCUGGCGGCAGGCUUAACACAUGCAAGUCGAGCGGGGUGAUGGUGCUUGCACUAUCACUUAGCGGCGGACGGGUGAGUAAUGCUUAGGAAUCUGCCUAUUGGUGGGGGACAACAUCUCGAAAGGGAUGCUAAUACCGCAUACGUCCUACGGGAGAGAGCAGGGGAUCACUUGUGACCUUGCGCUAAUAGAUGAGCCUAAGUCGGAUCAGCUAGUUGGUGGGGUAAAGGCCUACCAAGGCGACGAUCUGUAGCGGGUCUGAGAGGAUGAUCCGCCACACUGGGACUGAGACACGGCCCAGACUCCUACGGGAGGCAGCAGUGGGGAAUAUUGGACAAUGGGGGGAACCCUGAUCCAGCCAUGCCGCGUGUGUGAAGAAGGCCUUAUGGUUGUAAAGCACUUUAAGCGAGGAGGAGGCUCUUUUGGUUAAUACCCAAGAUGAGUGGACGUUACUCGCAGAAUAAGCACCGGCUAACUCUGUGCCAGCCGCCGCGGUAA